rnacentral:rRNA from 1 species
UACGGGGGGGGCAAGCGUUGUUCGGAAUUACUGGGCGUAAAGGGCUCGUAGGCGGCCAACUAAGUCAGACGUGAAAUCCCUCGGCUUAACCGGGGAACUGCAUCUGAUACUGGAUGGCUUGAGUUCGGGAGAGGGAUGCGGAAUUCCAGGUGUAGCGGUGAAAUGCGUAGAUAUCUGGAGGAACACCGGUGGCGAAGGCGGCAUCCUGGACCGACACUGACGCUGAGGAGCGAAAGCGUGGGGAGCAAACAGG